AGAGUUUGAUCAUGGCUCAGGACGAACGCUGGCGGCGUGCCUAAUACAUGCAAGUUGAACGAUGAUUUCUGGUACUUGUAUCAGAAUGAAGAGUAGCGAACGGGUGAGUAACGCGUGGGUAACCUACCUCUUAGCGGGGGACAACCAUUGGAAACGAUAGCUAAUACCGCAUAACAAUAUUAAACACAUGUUUAAUAUUUGAAAGUACCAAUUGGUACACUAGGAGAUGGACCCGCGUUGUAUUAGCUAGUUGGUAGUGUAAUGGACUACCAAGGCGAUGAUACAUAGCCGACCUGAGAGGGUGAUCGGCCACAUUGGGACUGAGACACGGCCCAAACUCCUACGGGAGGCAGCAGUAGGGAAUCUUCGGCAAUGGACGAAAGUCUGACCGAGCAACGCCGCGUGAGUGAAGAAGGUUUUCGGAUCGUAAAACUCUGUUGUUAGAGAAGAACGUUGUGUAGAGUGGAAAAUUACACAAGUGACGGUAUCUAACCAGAAAGGGACGGCUAACUACGUGCCAGCAGCCGCGGUAAUACGUAGGUCCCGAGCGUUGUCCGGAUUUAUUGGGCGUAAAGCGAGCGCAGGUGGUUUAAUAAGUCUGAUGUAAAAGGCAGUGGCUCAACCAUUGUGUGCAUUGGAAACUGUUAGACUUGAGUGCAGUAGAGGAGAGUGGAAUUCCAUGUGUAGCGGUGAAAUGCGUAGAUAUAUGGAGGAACACCGGUGGCGAAAGCGGCUCUCUGGACUGUAACUGACACUGAGGCUCGAAAGCGUGGGUAGCAAACAGGAUUAGAUACCCUGGUAGUCCACGCCGUAAACGAUGAGUGCUAGUUGUUUGGGGCUAUCCAGCCCUAAGUGACGCAGC
rnacentral:rRNA from 1 species